rnacentral:lncRNA from 11 species
GGGGGAUUGACUCACGCCAUAUUGGAAUGCCAUGUGGAGCCAGGGCGAAGUUCCCACAAGCUUCCUCUCUAGUCAUAUUUAAGACCCGUUUUGCUCGGGAAGAAUUGGGGAAGGCGCUAUAAGCCCUCUUUCAAUAAAUGGGGGAACCGGCGUGCCCCCUAAUUGGGACAAAGGCCAGUCAUAGUGGUGCCAUGACGUCACUCAGCGGCGCUGUAAGCUCCUGUGACGUCACUCCUGCCAGUGCAAGGCAGUCAACUUUUGGGGAGAAAUGGAGGAGGAGCUACCACAACCUGCAGGGUGAAAGCCUCAGGGUGAUAUGUCCAGCAAGAAUUCAGCAGCAUCUGAGACAGAAAGCGAAUGGGAGUUUCAUUCUGCAUAUGGAGAAGAAAGUACUGUACAUACCAGCAGAGGAUUCAUCAGAGAUUAAUGAUGACCGGAAAAGGCUUCAUGGGAACCACAAAUGUUGCCACAGCAGUGUUCAGUAUGGUCAUUUGCAGUGAGAAGUCAUGUUGAAAUGUUCGUGAAUGUUGGUGCUUGCUUCACAGAGGACCUCGACAAAUAAAGCAUGCCGAAAUACAAUUUUAUGGGUUCUAGCGAUUCUCACUCUUUGCAAUGAGAGAAAAUGAAUCUUAAAAGGAUGCAUUACACAAACCUUCAAAAUUAAGGGUCAUAAAACCUUUUCAAAAACUUAAAUUAAGGGUCAUAAAACCUUUUCAAAAACUUACAGUGGUUUUAUAGGAAUUUUGCAUUCACUUAUUUUUUCACAAGGUGCUUUGACAUUUUUAUUUUGUAAUAUGUAACUCAGUAAGAUUUAUUUUGAGAGUAAAAUAUAAACAGUAAGAAAAGGGUUAGAGUAGACUUUCAGAACACGUAAUUCACUGAUCCGUAACCAAAAAUCCAUUCAAAAGCACUAAAAGAAAUUGCCUUGAAUCUCAACAUCUAUACUUAAUCAAAACUGAAUAACAACUAAAUUUAUAUAAAUAUGAAUUUGUGAAAGAGCUAUGUGGUAUUGAAAGCUACACUAUUUUUAAAAGUUUUCAUCACAGGCUGAUGAAGAUUAAGUGUUUCUGCAGCAAAUAGUAACACGACAGUCCGGUUCCCGCCCACCUAGGAGCAAAUCCUACUUAAUGUAUUUUAGACAUAACAAGCCCUCUUCUCACUAAAUGCCAGAAUGAUACUCUGUAAGAGCAAAAGCAACAUCAAGUGUAAAAUUCAUGGAGUAGACCAUACAAGGUCAGAUGCUUUGCACUAGUCCUGCAGAGUGGUUCUGGUGUGUUGUUGUUUAUUCAUUCAGUCGUUUCCGACUCUUUGUGACCUCGUGGACCAGUCCACGUCAGAGCUUCCUGUCGGCCGUCACCGCCCCCAGUUCCUUCAAGGUCAAUCCAGUCACUUCAAGGAUACCGUCCAUCCAUCACGCCCUUGGUCGACCUCUCUUCCUUUGUUCUUCCAUUUGCCCCAGCAUCACGAUCUUUUCC